UUUACCCUACGGGGGGCAGCAGUGGGGAAUAUUGGGCAAUGGGCGCAAGCCUGACCCAGCAACGCCGCGUGAAGGAAGAAGGCUUUCGGGUUGUAAACUUCUUUUAUCAGGGACGAAGCAAGUGACGGUACCUGAUGAAUAAGCCACGGCUAACUACGUGCCAGCAGCCGCGGUAAUACGUAGGUGGCAAGCGUUAUCCGGAUUUACUGGGUGUAAAGGGCGUGUAGGCGGGAGUGCAAGUCAGAUGUGAAAACUAUGGG
rnacentral:rRNA from 1 species